CACGCCGUAAACGAUGGAUACUAGCUGUUCGGAGCAAUCUGAGUGGCUAAGCGAAAGUGAUAAGUAUCCCACCUGGGGAGUACGCACGCAAGUGUGAAACUCAAAGGAAUUGACGGGGGCCCGCACAAGCGGUGGAGCAU
rnacentral:rRNA from 1 species